ACUUAGACCAUACUAAGUCUAUGGAAUGUUAAGCAGUGUUAAAGUUAGAAUGUGAUGUGAGCAGUUGCAUGUUAAGUGUAAAUACUAUUUAUUGCCUACAUAGCUAUGACUUGCCAUUGGAGGGCUGGUAAGCAGGGUUCUGGCUAAAAGCUGAGAUACCUGGGCUGUAUUCCUGCU